rnacentral:rRNA from 1 species
UUAAGCGACUAAGCGUACACGGUGGAUGCCCUGGCAGUCAGAGGCGAUGAAGGACGUGCUAAUCUGCGAAAAGCGUCGGUAAGGUGAUAUGAACCGUUAUAACCGGCGAUGUCCGAAUGGGGAAACCCAGUGCAAUUCGUUGCACUAUCGUUAACUGAAUACAUAGGUUAACGAGGCGAACCGGGGGAACUGAAACAUCUAAGUACCCCGAGGAAAAGAAAUCAACCGAGAUUCCCCCAGUAGCGGCGAGCGAACGGGGAGCAGCCCAGAGUCUGAAUCAGCUUGUGUGUUAGUGGAACGGUCUGGAAAGUCCGACGGUACAGGGUGAUAGUCCCGUACACCAAAAUGCACAGGNUGUGAACUCGAAGAGUAGGGCGGGACACGUGGUAUCCUGUCUGAAUAUGGGGGGACCAUCCUCCAAGGCUAAAUACUCCUGACUGACCGAUAGUGAACCAGUACCGUGAGGGAAAGGCGAAAAGAACCCCGGCGAGGGGAGUGAAAAAGAACCUGAAACCGUGUACGUACAAGCAGUGGGAGCACCUUCGGGUGUGACUGCGUACCUUUUGUAUAAUGGGUCAGCGACUUAUAUUCUGUAGCAAGGUUAACCGUAUAGGGGAGCCGCAGGGAAACCGAGUCUUAACUGGGCGUUAAGUUGCAGGGUAUAGACCCGAAACCCGGUGAUCUAGCCAUGGGCAGGUUGAAGGUUGGGUAACACUAACUGGAGGACCGAACCGACUAAUGUUGAAAAAUUAGCGGAUGACUUGUGGCUGGGGGUGAAAGGCCAAUCAAACCGGGAGAUAGCUGGUUCUCCCCGAAAGCUAUUUAGGUAGCGCCUCGUGAAUUCAUCUUCGGGGGUAGAGCACUGUUUCGGCUAGGGGGUCAUCCCGACUUACCAACCCGAUGCAAACUACGAAUACCGAAGAAUGUUAUCACGGGAGACACACGGCGGGUGCUAACGUCCGUCGUGAAGAGGGAAACAACCCAGACCGCCAGCUAAGGUCCCAAAGUCAUGGUUAAGUGGGAAACGAUGUGGGAAGGCACAGACAGCCAGGAUGUUGGCUUAGAAGCAGCCAUCAUUUAAAGAAAGCGUAAUAGCUCACUGGUCGAGUCGGCCUGCGCGGAAGAUGUAACGGGGCUAAACCAUGCACCGAAGCUGCGGCAGCGACACUAUGUGUUGUUGGGUAGGGGAGCGUUCUGUAAGCCUGCGAAGGUGACCUGUGAGGGUUGCUGGAGGUAUCAGAAGUGCGAAUGCUGACAUAAGUAACGAUAAAGCGGGUGAAAAGCCCGCUCGCCGGAAGACCAAGGGUUCCUGUCCAACGUUAAUCGGGGCAGGGUGAGUCGACCCCUAAGGCGAGGCCGAAAGGCGUAGUCGAUGGGAAACAGGUUAAUAUUCCUGUACUUGGUGUUACUGCGAAGGGGGGACGGAGAAGGCUAUGUUAGCCGGGCGACGGUUGUCCCGGUUUAAGCAUGUAGGCUGGUUGUCCAGGCAAAUCCGGAUAAUCAAGGCUGAGGUGUGAUGACGAGGCACUACGGUGCUGAAGUAACAAAUGCCCUGCUUCCAGGAAAAGCCUCUAAGCAUCAGGUAACAUCAAAUCGUACCCCAAACCGACACAGGUGGUCAGGUAGAGAAUACCAAGGCGCUUGAGAGAACUCGGGUGAAGGAACUAGGCAAAAUGGUGCCGUAACUUCGGGAGAAGGCACGCUGGUGUGUAGGUGAAGUCCCUGCGGAUGGAGCUGAGACCAGUCGAAGAUACCAGCUGGCUGCAACUGUUUAUUAAAAACACAGCACUGUGCAAACACGAAAGUGGACGUAUACGGUGUGACGCCUGCCCGGUGCCGGAAGGUUAAUUGAUGGGGUUAUCCGUAAGGAGAAGCUCUUGAUCGAAGCCCCGGUAAACGGCGGCCGUAACUAUAACGGUCCUAAGGUAGCGAAAUUCCUUGUCGGGUAAGUUCCGACCUGCACGAAUGGCGUAAUGAUGGCCAGGCUGUCUCCACCCGAGACUCAGUGAAAUUGAACUCGCUGUGAAGAUGCAGUGUACCCGCGGCAAGACGGAAAGACCCCGUGAACCUUUACUAUAGCUUGACACUGAACAUUGAGCCUUGAUGUGUAGGAUAGGUGGGAGGCUUUGAAGCGUGGACGCCAGUCUGCGUGGAGCCAACCUUGAAAUACCACCCUUUAAUGUUUGAUGUUCUAACGUUGGCCCCUUACCGGGGUUGCGGACAGUGUCUGGUGGGUAGUUUGACUGGGGCGGUCUCCUCCCAAAGCGUAACGGAGGAGCACGAAGGUUAGCUAAUCCUGGUCGGACAUCAGGAGGUUAGUGCAAUGGCAUAAGCUAGCUUGACUGCGAGCGUGACGGCGCGAGCAGGUGCGAAAGCAGGUCAUAGUGAUCCGGUGGUUCUGAAUGGAAGGGCCAUCGCUCAACGGAUAAAAGGUACUCCGGGGAUAACAGGCUGAUACCGCCCAAGAGUUCAUAUCGACGGCGGUGUUUGGCACCUCGAUGUCGGCUCAUCACAUCCUGGGGCUGAAGUAGGUCCCAAGGGUAUGGCUGUUCGCCAUUUAAAGUGGUACGCGAGCUGGGUUUAGAACGUCGUGAGACAGUUCGGUCCCUAUCUGCCGUGGGCGCUGGAGAAUUGAGGGGGGCUGCUCCUAGUACGAGAGGACCGGAGUGGACGCAUCACUGGUGUUCGGGUUGUCAUGCCAAUGGCACUGCCCGGUAGCUAAAUGCGGAAGAGAUAAGUGCUGAAAGCAUCUAAGCACGAAACUUGCCCCGAGAUGAGUUCUCCCUGAGACUUUAAGUCUCCUGAAGGAACGUUAAAGACGAUGACGUUGAUAGGCCGGGUGUGUAAGCGCAGCGAUGCGUUGAGCUAACCGGUACUAAUGAACCGUGAGGCUUAACCUU